CCACACCACAACGCAGCAAAACCUGAGAGCUGAUGAAUUUUCCGUUAUUUCCGUUCUCUAUCUUAUUUGUAAUUCGACAUGUUGUUCUGCUCUCAUUUCAUACCGCUCGUUCUGCUGGCGUCGCUGGGAGCUCCAGAGAAAUGGAAAGUAGUAAAUGGGACCAUUGGUUCAUCGGUUUUUCUGGAUCCUGAACACGAAAGUGAUCUCAGCAGGAGUGAAAUUUUAUGGACCUUCACUGGCAGCAACAAAAGCCCUGUUACUAUUUUGGAUCACGUUCCAGAUAAACCUGUGGAGAAACCAUAUGAACAAUUCAGAUCCCGUUUACAGUUUAACGCUUCUACUGGCUGUCUGCUGGUAGACAGGAUAAAACCUGAGGAUCAAGGUGUUUAUAAUUUUGUUGUAGAUGAGAGAAGAACAACUACAAUAGAAUUGCUUCUCUUCUAUAAGCUGUCGAAAAUUUUCAUAAGGAGCUAUAGCGUCGCUGGCAACACCAUCCAACUCACCUGUGAGGUUGAUGGAAAUCCUCAUAAAUAUGAAUGGCUGAAAAAUGGAGGGAAAAUCUCACAGCGUCACUGGUUAAUUAAUGAAAGCAGAAGCCUCAUCUUGACUGACUUUGCAAAUGUAUGUAGAACGUACACCUGUGUUGCCUCCAAUCCUAUCAGCUUUGUCCAGGCAAAUUACACCAUAAAUCCCCCAGGUAUUUCUGAUGAAGACUCUAUAAUUAUUAUUGCGUCAAUCACAGGACUGGUAUCAUCUUUGGUAUCUUAUAGUGGAUUCUUGCUUCUGUCAUGUUUGAAGAAGAAAUCAAACCAAGUGUUUCAGAGCCUCAUUAAUUGCAACAUUUUGUCUGUUGUUGGUGCCUUCGUUGCCCUCAUCUCCUGGAUUGUGAUUAAAGGUGCUGUGUUUAUACCUGUUGUUGCAUUAUGCACUGUCUCUGCCCUGUUUUUGGCCAUUCUGAAAUUUAGCUGCUCCUUUAAUGGGAAAUUCCAAGGGAAAAAAGGAUCUCAACCUUUCAUUGCCUUGAGUGGUUUCAUUAUAAUCCCCAUUUCAAUCACUGUCCUAAAGGAAGAGAUUCAGCAAAACAAUCAAAGUUGUCACACCACCAUCUUAACAUGGAGCAUACCGAUUGCAUUAUUGGUCAGCUGUGUUAUUAUAAUGUCUGUGUUCUUUGCAACAUAUUGCUGUAAAUACCGCAAUUUCUCUUACUGUGGACUGAUGAACACUGAGAUCUUUAGAAAUGUUUUUGUCGCCUUUUCCAGCUUGAUGCAUCUCUACAAUUCUUCUGACAGAAAUGGAAAUGCAAGCAUUGAAGUAAGACAGCAGAAGUGCUUGAGAAGAUGAAAGAUCUGAAGGCAGAUAAGUCGUCUGGACCAGAUGGACUACGCCCAGGGUUCUGAAAGAGGAUACUGAAGACUUGUAAGAUUUCAGUAUUAUUGAAAUAGAGCUGGGUGCUGCAGCCGAUUCACUUCAGACUCUUUAAAAUGGAUAUGAUGGGUAUCAAGCAACACACAUCAAAGUUGCUGGUGAACGCAGCAGGCCAGGCAGCAUCUCUAGGAAGAGGUACAGUCGACGUUUCAGGCCGAGACCCUUCGUCAGGACGAACUGAAAAAGAGUUAGUAAGAGAUUUGAAAGUGGGAGGGGGAGGGGGAGAUCCAAAAUGAUAGGAGAAGACAGGAGGGUAUCAAUUUUGGUACUGAGUACCAGUGGAAAAACAUUGUCUAUCAAUAGAGCAAAUACACACCUUCAUUCCUAUGGAAUGGCACUGUUAUUUGAAACAUAUUAUAACAGCCCUCUGUAUGAUUUCAGUAUUGUUUACUUUCAAAGCACUGUUAGGAUACAUUACUUGGUAGGUGUCUGAUAUAAGAAGCACCCUCACCAAACUAAGAGUUUCUGACCAGAGAAUCAAUCUUGAAAUGGUGUAGCAGUCUUUCCACAUUGUGCUGGAGUUUGAUGUGAACAGAAAUUCAAUGGAAUAGUAAUUGUAAGACUUGCACUUGACGACUGCCAUUUGGUAGACCUGAGGACUGAAGUCGAUACAGAGUCUAUAGAUGCCAGAAUAUGGAGCAAAAGAUGUAAACUCUUUACCAAACUCAGAGGAACAAGCAGAAUCUGUGGAGGCAAUGCAGCAGUCUAAAUUUCAGAUUAAGAUCCUGCAUCAGGGCUGAGUGUUGACCGAGAAAUAGUUGCCAUUUCAGAAGGCUUGUGCAUGAUAGUUGAUGACAAAUAAUGGAUGGAAAAGGUAACAAGGGAAGAGAGAAAACAGAUGUAUUGGUGGGGUGUAAAUAACCUGAAAUUAGAAAAUUCCAUAUUUAUACAACGAUAAGUUACCCAUGUGGAGUAUGAAAUGUUUUUAUUGGAUUACAGUACUGAUUGGUGUUUUCUUGAGUCUCUGUUUUUUUAAUUUACAGUAUAGUUUUAGCUUUUAUGACACCAGUGACCACUGGUGAUGUCCUGCAUACAUUUCAUUAAAUUAUUACUACCCACUCAGUUUUUGUGCCGUUUGUAUGAUUUUUUUUCUUUUUUUAUGGCGUGUUUGGCGUUUGAUGUUUUCUGUAAACGAGCUCCAUCGUGUUUCUUUGUUUUUUUGGCUUUCUUUGGAAAGUAUGCAUACAUGCUUUG